rnacentral:rRNA from 1 species
GACGAACGCUGGCGGCGUGCUUAACACAUGCAAGUCGAACGUGAUUUUUGUGGCAAUUCUUUCGGGAAUGGAAAUGAAAUGAAAGUGGCGAACGGGUGAGUAACACGUGAGCAACCUACCUUACACAGGGGGAUAGCCGUUGGAAACGACGAUUAAUACCGCAUGAGACCACAGAAUCGCAUGAUAUAGGGGUCAAAGAUUUAUCGGUGUAAGAAGGGCUCGCGUCUGAUUAGCUAGUUGGAAGGGUAAAGGCCUACCAAGGCGACGAUCAGUAGCCGGUCUGAGAGGAUGAACGGCCACAUUGGAACUGAGACACGGUCCAAACUCCUACGGGAGGCAGCAGUGGGGAAUAUUGCACAAUGGGGGGAACCCUGAUGCAGCGACGCCGCGUGAGCGAAGAAGGUUUUCGAAUCGUAAAGCUCUGUCCUAUGAGAAGAUAAUGACGGUAGCAUAGGAGGAAGCCCCGGCUAAAUACGUG